UAUAAAGGUGGCAGAAGUAAGUGCACUAGAUUUAAGCUCUAGAUAUAAAGAUGAAAUCUCUUUUCUUUAUAU
rnacentral:tRNA from 1 species